GAUGAACGCUAGCUACAGGCUUAACACAUGCAAGUCGAGGGGAAACGAUAUUGGAAGCUUGCUUCCGAUAGGCGUCGACCGGCGCACGGGUGAGUAACGCGUAUCCAACCUGCCCACCACUUGGGGAUAACCUUGCGAAAGUAGGACUAAUACCCAAUGAUAUCUCUAGAAGACAUCUGAAGGAGAUUAAAGAUUCAUCGGUGAUGGAUGGGGAUGCGUCUGAUUAGCUUGUUGGCGGGGUAACGGCCCACCAAGGCGACGAUCAGUAGGGGUUCUGAGAGGAAGGUCCCCCACAUUGGAACUGAGACACGGUCCAAACUCCUACGGGAGGCAGCAGUGAGGAAUAUUGGUCAAUGGGCGAGAGCCUGAACCAGCCAAGUAGCGUGCAGGAUGACGGCCCUAUGGGUUGUAAACUGCUUUUAUAAGGGAAUAAAGUGAGUCUCGUGAGACUUUUUGCAUGUACCUUAUGAAUAAGGACCGGCUAAUUCCGUGCCAGCAGCCGCCGUAA
rnacentral:rRNA from 1 species